rnacentral:siRNA from 1 species
AGACUCUGAAGUGCAUGUGUCAUC